rnacentral:rRNA from 1 species
UGCGCAGGCGGUUUUGUAAGUCAGAUGUGAAAUCCCCGAGCUCAACUUGGGAACUGCGUUUGAAACUGCAAGACUAGAAUAUGUCAGAGGGGGGUAGAAUUCCACGUGUAGCAGUGAAAUGCGUAGAGAUGUGGAGGAAUACCAAUGGCGAAGGCAGCCCCCUGGGCCUGCACUGACGCUCAUGCACGAAAGCGUGGGGAGCAAACAGGAUUAGAUACCCUUGUA